GAUGAACGCUGACAGAAUGCUUAACACAUGCAAGUCUACUUGAACUUCGGUUUGGGUGGCGGACGGGUGAGUAACGCGUAAAGAACUUGCCUCACAGUUAGGGACAACAUUUGGAAACGAAUGCUAAUACCUGAUAUUAUGAUUUUAGGGCAUCCUAAGAUUAUGAAAGCUAUAUGCGCUGUGAGAGAGCUUUGCGUCCCAUUAGCUAGUUGGAGAGGUAACGGCUCACCAAGGCGAUGAUGGGUAGCCGGCCUGAGAGGGUGAACGGCCACAAGGGGACUGAGACACGGCCCUUACUCCUACGGGAGGCAGCAGUGGGGAAUAUUGGACAAUGGACCAAAAGUCUGAUCCAGCAAUUCUGUGUGCACGAUGACGUUUUUCGGAAUGUAAAGUGCUUUCAGUUGGGAAGAAAAAAAUGACGGUACCAACAGAAGAAGUGACGGCUAAAUACGUGCCAGCAGCCGCGGUAAUACGUAUGUCACAAGCGUUAUCCGGAUUUAUUGGGCGUAAAGCGCGUCUAGGUGGUUAUGUAAGUCUGAUGUGAAAAUGCAGGGCUCAACUCUGUAUUGCGUUGGAAACUGCAUGACUAGAGUACUGGAGAGGUAAGCGGAACUACAAGUGUAGAGGUGAAAUUCGUAGAUAUUUGUAGGAAUGCCGAUGGGGAAGCCAGCUUACUAGACAGAUACUGACGCUAAAGCGCGAAAGCGUGGGUAGCAAACAGG
rnacentral:rRNA from 1 species